UACGGCGGGGGCGAGCGUUAUUCGGAAUUAUUGGGCGUAAAGGGCGCGUAGGCGGCUGUACAAGUCAAAGGUGAAAUCCCUCGGCUCAACUGAGGAACUGCCUUUGAAACUGUACGGCUUGAGGCCGGGAGGGGGUAGCGGAAUUCCCAGUGUAGCGGUGAAAUGCGUAGAUACUGGGAGGAACACCAGUGGCGAAGGCGGUUCUCUGGGCCUGUACUGACGCUGAGGAGCGAAAGCGUGGGGAGCGAACAGG
rnacentral:rRNA from 1 species